rnacentral:rRNA from 1 species
CCUACGGGUGGCAGCAGUGGGGAAUAUUGGGCAAUGGACGCAAGCCUGACCCAGCAACGCCGCGUGAAGGAAGAAGGCUUUAGGGUUGUAAACUUCGUUUCUCAGGGACGAAGAAAGCGACGGUACCAGAGGAAUAAGCCACGGCUAACUACGGGCCAGCAGCCACGGUAAUACGUAGGUGGCAAGCAUUAUCCGGAUUUAUGGGGUGUAAAGGGCGUGUAGGCGGGAGCGCAAGUCAGAUGGGAAAACUCAGGUCUCAACCCUGAGCCUGCAUCUGAAACUGUGUUGCUUGAGUGCUGGAGAGGCAAUCGGAAGUUCGGGUGUAGCGGUGAAAUGCUUAGAUAUACGGAAGAACACCAGUGGCGAAGGCGGAUUGCUGGACAGUAACUGACGCUGAGGCGCGAAAGCGUGGGGAGCAAACAGGAUUAGAUACCCGUGUAGUC